GGUGACCGUGUGAGCCUCAGAAUUAUCCCACCUUGCUUAACUUGGGAGGAGGAAGCCACUUUAAAAGGGAGAGCCACCCUUCCCCUAUUGGACUAGUCUUUUGGAGCGAUUGGGCCUUUCCCUGAGUUGGGUGUGCAUAAUGAACUGUUGGGCUCCGGGCAACCCUAAUUUGUUGGGCCUUGGCCAACCCCACCUGGGCUGGGUGUAUCAUCUGGUAUCAGAGCUAGGGCCCAUUUUAAGAAGGUGGGAAUGAUGAGGACAUCCUCCACUAUUACCCGUUGGCAAAGACGCAAUUGGCCCAGUUGGCCCAAUUGUAGUCAGACGGUGACCGUGUGAGCCUCAGAAUUAUCCCACCUUGCUUAACUUGGGAGGAGGAAGCCACUUUAAAAGGGAGAGCCACCCUUCCCCCAUUGGACUAGUCUUUUGGAGCGAUUGGGCCUUUCCCUGAGUUGGGUG
rnacentral:lncRNA from 1 species